CCCUUAGAUGUCCUGGGCCGCACGCGCGUUACACUGAUGCAUUCAACGAGCUUAUAACCUUGGCCGAGAGGCCUGGGCAAUCUUGUUAACGUGCAUCGUGAUAGGGAUAGAUUAUUGAAAUUAUUAAUCUUGAACGAGGAAUUCCUAGUAAACGCAGAUCAUCAAUCUGCAUUGAUUACGUCCCUGCCCUUUGUACACACCGCCCGUCGCACCUACGGAUUGGAUGGUCCGGUGAAGCCUCGGGAUUGUGGUUCUUGCCGCUUUAUUGUGGCGUGACCGCGAGAACUUGUCUAAACCUUAUCAUCUAGAGGAAGGUGAAGUCGUAACA
rnacentral:rRNA from 1 species